UCAGACGAUGCGUCAUGCAUAUCAAUAAGCGGAGGAAAAGAAACUAACAAGGAUUCCCCUAGUAACGGCGAGUGAAGCGGGAAGAGCUCAAAUUUGAAAUCUUAAAGGGUUUCCCUUUACGAAUUGUAGUUUAAAGAAGUGUUUUCUGUUGAGGUUUUGGUAAAAGUUCUUUGGAAUAGGACAUCAUAGAGGGUGAGAAUCCCGUAUUUGACCUUUACUUUCAACUUUGUGAUACACUUUCAAAGAGUCGGAUUGUUUGGGAAUGCAGUCCAAAAUGGGUGGUAAAUUUCAUCUAAAGCUAGAUAUUGGCGAGAGACCGAUAGCGAACAAGUACCGUGAGGGAAAGAUGAAAAGAACUUUGAAAAGAGAGUUAAACAGUACGUGAAAUUGUCAAAAGGGAAGCGUUUGACACCAGUGUUGUUUUUCUGAAAAUCAAUUAAAGAACUGUUUAUGCUAAGUUGUUUAGACUUUAUCAGCUAACUGUUUAGUUUUGAGCUUUUCUUUAAUGCACUUUUCAGUUAACAAGUCAACAUCAAUUUCUUUUGCUGUAAAAAAGCUUGAGGAAGGUGGCUUAGAUUCGUCUUAAGUGUUUAUAGCCUCUUGCCUAUGCAGUCGGAGAGAUUGAGGUCUGCAGCGUAGAUCCUUCGGGGCUAAAUGCAUUUGUGCUAAGUUAUAGCAUUUUAUAGACAACUUGUUGACUAUGAUUUGUCUCGUAGCUUACUCGCUUAUGUUAUUUUACCUACGCUUAGGAUGUUGAAUCUGUGCGAGACUAC
rnacentral:rRNA from 1 species